rnacentral:rRNA from 1 species
AGUGAACGCUGGCGGCGUGCUUAACACAUGCAAGUCGAACGAGAACGGAAUAUAGCUUGCUAUAUUUGUCAGCUAAGUGGCGCACGGGUGAGUAAUGUAUAGAUAACCUGCCCUUAAGAAAGGAAUAACAGUUGGAAACGACUGCUAAUGCCCUAUAUGCCUUUAAUACAUAAGUAUGCAAGGGAAACGCUUUAGUGCUUAAGGAUGGGUCUGUAUGGUAUCAGCUUGUUGGUGAGGUAAUGGCUCACCAAGGCUAUGACGCCUAACUGGUUUGAGAGGAUGAUCAGUCACACUGGAACUGAGACACGGUCCAGACUCCUACGGGAGGCAGCAGUGGGGAAUAUUGCACAAUGGACGAAAGUCUGAUGCAGCAACGCCGCGUGGAGGAUGACACAUUUCGGUGCGUAAACUCCUUUUAUAUAGGAAGAUAAUGACGGUACUAUAUGAAUAAGCACCGGCUAAUUCCGUGCAAGCAGCAGCCGCUG